UACGAAGGGGGCUAGCGUUGCUCGGAAUUACUGGGCGUAAAGCGCACGUAGGCGGCUUUCUAAGUCGGGGGUGAAAUCCUGGAGCUCAACUCCAGAACUGCCUUCGAUACUGGAGAGCUCGAGUCCGGGAGAGGUGAGUGGAACUGCGAGUGUAGAGGUGAAAUUCGUAGAUAUUCGCAAGAACACCAGUGGCGAAGGCGGCUCACUGGCCCGGUACUGACGCUGAGGCGCGAAAGCUAGGGGAGCAAACAGG
rnacentral:rRNA from 1 species